GUGACCUGUUGAAGACUGUGGUAACUGCUGGGCUGGUGAAUGGAGAUGAAUUUUGUCAACUCGUAUUGACAACUCUGUGCCUUCGACUGUUUGAGCUCUUGGGCCCUGUGACUGUGCUGGAAGUUCAAAAGGAAAUAAACUGAGAGGCCUAAAGAAUUCUUCUACGUAAGGAGACUGAGCCAGCUGAAGAUUGAGAGGGAAAUCCUUCUCAGCUCUGCAGGCACACCAGGGAUGUAUGGGAUCUAUAUGUUUGACCCCAGGAUUUCUGAGGAUCGCCACAGGCAUCGUUCCAAGAAUUAGGCCGUGAAAUCCUCCUCUGACUGCUCAUGUCCCAGGAGGAAACGCCAGCUACAUACCUAGCAGUGGAGCAGCACAAGUGCAGUGUGCUUUUGGCACGCUGGAGACACACCAGGACUGUGGAAACACCUCCUGAUGGCAGCGGGGUGAAAAUUGGGGGGGAAAUUCGUGGUUUUGGGGGGUCUGGGGAGGGGCUACAAGGGGCUUGGGAGGAGCUUUGGGGGUGCCUAUAGGGGAAUUACCAUGGGUUUGGGGAGGUCUGGGGUGUUAUGGAGUUUUUGGGGUAGCUGUAGGGGGGAUUUCAUGGGCUUGGGGAGGUCUGGGUGACUGUGGAGUUUUCAGGGUAGCUGUAGAGGGGUUUAUGGUUUUGGGGAGAUGUGGUGGGCUGCGGAGUUUUUGGGGUAGCUGUAGGGGGUUUUCAUGGGUUUGGGGAGGUCUGGGGUGUUACGAAG